rnacentral:lncRNA from 1 species
GGCAGAGCUUUGUUGCACCUAGGUCCACCCGUUUACUGAUAGUAGAACUUCUCAGUUGUAUUAAUUCAGUCUGAUGUUUAAAUUUUCACCAUUUUGUCCUACAUAUUAGAAUACUAAGAACAUAUAUUUACUGAAGAUCCUACCAAUACAGAGUUACAGAAUAAAUUCUUUGUCCAAUGACAAUGUAAGAGUCACGGCCAGUAAUCACAAACAACACUAUCUCGACCGCCGGGCAUGUGUGUGCGGCAAGGGGAUGCAGAUACUCCGAUGAUAGAUGUGUUGAGACAACAAGUUCAUGCAGGAGACCUUGAACUACUCGCCUGUUGCCAUUGAUGGCUAUGGAUCAUGCAAAAUCCUGACCAAAAGAUCACAUUAUUUUCACGAAACUAAUCUCUUGAACUUGCUCCACGACAAUCUUUGAACCUCCUACAAGAACAAUCAUUAUUUUAAAGUUCACAUGAAUACCUACAAGCUAUGAUCACAAACAUUCACAAAACAUUCUUUUAAAGAGUUAUGCCGCAUUAAUUAGAACCAGAAAAAUAGGGUGAAACUAUGGCAUCUACACUACACAUCAUCUAGACUGUAGCAACAACUGUUUUGCAUGAUCAUUGGCAUUUGGAGUAGCAUACAACAACUGGACGGAGAAGGGAGAAAGAGUUGGACUGGUGUGAACCCUGUACCUAGACAGGGACCGGAGGAAGUAAUGCAUGGGGCGGCGGGGGCUGUCUGUAGUCCAACCUCCCCUGUGCCGCAGUUCAGAGAGAAACAAAUUAGUAAGAGAAAAGAGCAGUAGAGAGGAAAGAGAUACGGCAGAUGCAUUGACUACUGCUGUUCUUUUUGUUGAAGGGCAGAUGAAGAAACUCCCGUAGGUCGCAGCUGAAGAAUUACAGUGGCUUCAUAACAAGUUUAACAACACAACAUUUUGGCAGCAAGUACGUGCAGGUAGAGGUCAUGCCAUGGAUUGGAUGGAAACUCGAUGCAUGAGCUGACCAUAAACCAAGAAAAGAGCUACAACUUUUUAAUAAAUCAUAUCUUUAAAUAUACUUGUGCGAAUAUCCCUUUCCAGAACUAACCACCUCAGACAAAUACAUGCACAAGCUUACCUUCAUUUUAACCAUGGUAUUUUUCAGCAAAAAAAUGGUGUGCAUUAGCUCCACAUAAACAUGCGGCUUCCUGCAUUUUCCAUCUUUAUGCGUCAAAUGCAGUGUGCAUUAGUAGUAGCAAGUGCCUCAGCAUGGUGCCCUGGUCAGGGACGAUGCCGCUGGCGACGCACCACGGACGUAGAUAUAGAUGGACAACAGCUAGGCAGAAUGUAGAUAGCUCGUCACUUUGGCAUCAUUGCAGCCGACAUCCUUGUGGCCGCGCACGAGAUCACUACAACAUUAGCAUGGACUCGCUACAGCAUUAGCAUGUCCAUGUUGUUGAACUGAUGAGAUUUUUUCAUUGCACUGUUGUAACAUAAGGACUAGAACAACUAUCAAUAUAAAUUGAUGCUUUUUUUGUAGGUUUCUGAGAAUUAUAAUUUCUGUUUUGUAAAUAUAUAAAAAAAUUAAAUAGGUGUACUGCACCAUUACAUAAGUUUGUAAUGAACAUGUCCAUAAUAAUUACUAUAACUUUUAUUUGACAACAGAGAUUUUUUUUAAAAAAAAUUGAUGAUUGUUUGGGCUAGACAUACCAAAACAAACACUUUAGGAAAGAAGAGUCUGAACUUCUUGUGCAUUUUCCCAUUGAUCUUCACUGAACUAAAAUUAGAAUUUGAACUCCAGCUUUCUUUUAAUAGAACAUGGUAAAUCCAUGUUGUCUGUUUUUUAACCAGAAAACUACGCAAGAUUGCUCGCUAAAGGCCACAUAUUUUUUUCAUAUAGUAAGACAAGUGAAAGAUAAUAUAUAACAACCCAUAGGAGAAAGAAUUAGCAAAACUGAAACAAAAACAUAUGUUACCAGAACUGAAAGCAAUGGUUUUUCAAACCUUUGGGUGAGAGCAUGGUGCUCUAAUACGAUUUUGCAUAUAUCUAAAACUCCACGGGUGACCUGAACUGAUGCAUAACAGUAUGAGUGCAAAAUUCUUGUAAGCAUAAGAAAAUACAUAGAGUGC